UGCUGGAAGAGGGUGUGGAGGCUGAAGUUUUUGGCUUUUUGGGUGGAGGCUCUGACCUUGGGGUGGUGGGUGGUUCUUUGCGUUUUGAGAGAGGAGGUGCAGAAGCCAUGGGACGGGUGGAUUUUGACCUGAUUUUUCGUUUAUACGUGGCUGUGGAGGGUGGUGGGGGUGUCUCUUGUGGAGGGGAAUUAGGGUUAGGAGGUCGCAUUGACAAUGGCGAGACCUCGAGAGGAGAAGCUGGAAGGGAAUGAGGAGGCGACUCCAUAGUUCCCGAUGCUGAAGAUGGAGAAGGUGAGGGGGAAAAGAAAAAUGCAAUAAGAGAUUAGGGUUAAGGCGGCGGAAAUAAGCGUGGAGAAGAAGGGAAAGAGGUAAUGCCGGAAUAAAUGGGAGUGAACGGACGGUAGUGAACAGAAAAGUCGGGAGGUGGGAAAAAUGGGAGUCGAAGAAAAUUUUUGGAUUUGGAUAUGUAAGACUGCAUAAGGGGAUUAAUGGGUGUGCAUAACUUAUGCACCCUGGUUAUGCAUGUUUCGACUUGUUUUGGACUUCAGAGAAGUAGCUCAUGCAAAAGUGCAUAAGU
rnacentral:misc_RNA from 1 species